UAUUGGUCAAUGGACGCGAGUCUGAACCAGCCCAGUAGCGUGAAGGAUGACUGCCCUAUGGGUUGUAAACUUCCUUUAUAUGGGAAUAAAGUUUUCCACGUGUGGAAUUUUGUAUGUACCAUAUGAAUAAGGAACGGCGAACUCCGUGCCAGCAGCCGCGGUAAUACGGAGGAUUCGAGCGUUAUCCGGAUUUAUUGGGUUUAAAGGGAGCGUAGGUGGACAGUUAAGUCAGUUGUGGAAGUUUGCGGCUCAACCGUAAAAUUGCAGUUGAAACUGGCAGUCUUGAGUACAGUAGAGGUGGACGGAAUUCGUGGUGUAGCGGUGAAAUGCUUAGAUAUCACGAAGAACUCCGAUUGCGAAGGCAGCUCACUAGACUGCAACUGACACUGAUGCUCGAAAGUGUGGGUAUCAAACAG
rnacentral:rRNA from 1 species